rnacentral:rRNA from 1 species
AGUGAACGCUGGCGGUAGGCCUAACACAUGCAAGUCGAACGGCAGCACAGUAAGAGCUUGCUCUUACGGGUGGCGAGUGGCGGACGGGUGAGGAAUACAUCGGAAUCUACUUUUUCGUGGGGGAAAACGUAGGGAAACUUACGCUAAUACCGCAUACGACCUACGGUUGAAAGCAGGGUAUCUUCGGCCCUCGCGCGAUUGAGUGAGCCGAUGUCGGAUUACUUAGUUGGCGGGGUAAAGGCCCACCAAGGCGACGAUCCGUAGCUGGUCUGAGAGGAUGAUCAGCCACACUGGAACUGAGACACGGUCCAGACUCCUACGGGAGGCAGCAGUGGGGAAUAUUGGACAAUGGGCGCAAGCCUGAUCCAGCCAUACCGCGUGGGUGAAGAAGGCCUUCGGGUUGUAAAGCCCUUUUGUUGGGAAAGAAAAGCAGCAGGUUAAUACCCCGCUGUUCUGACGGUACCCAAAGAAUAAGCACCGGCUAACUUCGUG